rnacentral:hammerhead_ribozyme from 1 species
AUCCAGCUGACGAGUCUGAAAUUGGACGAAACGCGCGUCCUGGAU